rnacentral:tRNA from 1 species
GCGGGUGUAGUUCAAUGGUAGAACUUCAGCUUCCCAAGCUGCUAACGUGGGUUCGAUUCCCAUCACCCGCUCCA